CGAAGACGGUCAGCCGUUUGGAGUAUUCCGCUGAAUAUAACGAAGAUUUUAUCGUUAUUUCUAAGUUAAACACACCAAUCGAAGGUCGACGUUGCAACCUCAGCGGAGCAAGGGCCAAGGACAUCGCUAUUCUUAGGUCACGAUGGCGAGCAGUUCUUGGGAGGAGUUCUUCGCGGUGCACCUGCCGCCGACAGACUUCGAGGACAACCGCUCGCUACUGAAAGAGUUCUGCGAGCGACACGACCAAUACGGGAAUAAGAUCGUGCUUAUCACUUCUGGUGGAACGACAGUCCCCCUCGAGCACAACACAGUUCGCUUCGUGGACAACUUCAGCGCAGGCACGCGGGGCUCCGCCUCGGCCGAGCACUUCCUCGAGCAGGGCUACGCCGUCAUCUUCAUGCACCGGCAGAAGUCUCUGGAACCCUUCACGAGACACUUCAGCGGGCAGAAGUUGUUGGAUAUGCUGGAUAUUCAGGAACGGGGCCCGAAUACUAGUAUAACAGUGAAGCCGGAUAGUGUAGACGUGCUUGCGCCCAUAUUACUACGAUACAAAGCUGCGCACGCGGCGGGCGCCAUCCUCCACGUCUCCUUCACCACAGUCUCAGAGUAUUUCUGGCUUCUCCGGGCCGCAUGUGAAUGUUUGGCCAACCUUGGCCCAAGAGCUGUACUAUACUUAGCAGCUGCCGUCUCCGAUUUCUAUAUUCCUAAGGAUAGAGUGCCGACCCACAAGAUGCAGUCGGAGAGCGGCGCCCCGGUGAUCCAGCUGCACCUGGUGCCCAAGAUGCUGGCGCCGCUCUGCUCGCUGUGGGUGCCCGAGGCUUACGUCGUCUCCUUCAAGCUGGAGACGGAUGAGAACCUGCUCAUACCCAAAGCCAGAGCCGCUUUGGAUAAGUACAAACAUAAGAUGGUGGUAGCGAACAUGCUGCAAACACGGCAUCACAGGGUGAUACUGGUUACGCCAGAGGUCACACAAGAAAUAUUGCUUACUCGGGAAGAAGUACAUGCAGGUGUAGACAUAGAAUCGGCGAUAGUGUGCGAGAUAGUGACUCUCCACGCGCUGCACAUGUCCCUGUCAGGCAGCGCGCUGCCGCCGGCCCCGCCCGCGCGGCCGCGCUGAUUGUCACGCGCGGGCCGCCGCCUCUACCUCACCAAGGAGUAGCCGAGGAAUACCAACUACUAUAGAGUUGCCACCUUUAUUAUUUUUAGAAAGAAACGUUUAUUAUAAAGGGUCACCACAGUAACAUAUAACUUACAAUCAAAACACAUAAUAAAAACAACUUACACGAGAAAUACAAAUAAUUGAGUGUAUGGACUGGUCAACGAUGGUGGUGGUGUUCUUUAUAAAAGGGCCUCACUCAGAAUAAGCCGCGGCGCGAGCCAUGACGCUGGUAUUCUGUGGACCCUGCUAAGUGAGGCACGGAAGCCGUGUCUCCCACAAAUACAACUUCAAUGAACCACCUGUUCCCCGCGACUAUCUGCAAGUACAUCAGUAUCCUGGACUUUAUCUAGGAGUUCUUUAAGUAGUGCCAAAGCUCUCGACGUAGGAGAAUUACAGGCAAGCUGUGAAGACAACAUUUAAAAAAAAUAUACAUUCUUGUUUUAAUUUUUUAAAUAUAGAAUCAGGAUCAUUUGUAAAUGCGUUCGGGUGCUAUCCGGUCAAAAAAUUUUAAACAGCGAUAAAGUAAAAUUAUAUAGCUAAUACGGGGUAAGACCGGCAUAGAGGUUCCUCUGUUUCGUACGUUUCGUUCAACCACUAUUUUGACGUUCUUAAUUUGCCAGGAGUUGUUUUGAAAGCACGAAAGAUCAAAAACAUACGAGCGUCAAAAUUGUCGGUGUAGGGACGUGCCUGCAUAGAUAAUAUUAUUACUUUAAAGUGCUAUAUUAUUUUUGUGUACUACACUGGCGGACAUAAAAAUCGACUCGAUUUCUGUUGUCGGGUUGUUAAUAACUGUCUACAAUAAAUAAUGAUUAUAUGCCGUGAGUUAACCAGAGUCAUUUAAUAAAAGAAUACUAGUCGUCAUUUACGUAGAGCAGAGUAUUUUUCCAAAUGCCCGGUAACAGAACUUGAACCGAUUUUUUUGCCUAUCAGUGUACAUUACUUCGUAUUAUCAUGGGCUAACUAUAAACCAUGGUAUAAGAAGACUAGGUAUGCUCAAAAGUGACAGCUAACAUUUCAAGGUUAGCCCAGCUGACGUCAUCCGACCCUGUGUUGCCAUUUCGUAAAAAAUAAAUUACCCACGACCAUCGUUUUUAUAUUUACUUUGCAAGGAAAUUUUGAGAAUUUAAUAAAAGAGUUACUUACAGUUUUAAUGAUUUUUACAUAUGUGACAAGUAUUAGUUAUUAAAUACAUUAGUCAGUAAUUCAUUUAAUUUUCAAUAAUAAAAUUUACGUUCUUGGAAUGUUGGAGAUACCAAUUUAAUGGUAACACAGUGGUAACACAUACGUCAUCAAUGGGCUAGCAAUGGCGGCAUGUCAUACGAUUGAGCAUACCUAGGGAUUAAAAUGGCCAC
rnacentral:misc_RNA from 1 species